CUGGGCCUGGCACAUAGAAGCAUCCAAUAAAAGGUAUCUGCUUUUAUGGUUAUUGUUUGUUUCAAUGUUACUUCUUCUUUUUUUUUUAAUUUAUUUAUUUGACAGACAGAGAUCACAAGCAGGCAGAGAGGCAGACAGAGAGAGAGAGAGAGAGAGAGAGGAGGAAGCAGGUUCCUUGCUAAGCAGAGAGCCCGAGUGGGGCUCAAUCCCAGGACCUGUGCCAAAGGCAGAGGCUUUAACCCACUGAGCCACCCGGGCCCCCUACUUCUUCAAUUCUUAAAUGACUAACAGUGAGCAACAUGCAUAACUUCUCUGAGCCUUGUCUUUAAAACUGGAAUAAAAUGCUUUGAGCCUCUGAGGAGGUAAAUAGGAUAAUGGGUGUAGUGUACUUGACAGCUUACCUAUCUAAACUUCAGAUUUCUCCUUUUUAAAAUGGGAAAAUCCUUUUAGGGUUUCAUCAGAAUGAAAGGAAAUGACCUAGCUAAAGUCUCUAGCACAGUACUGAGGACACAUUUAUUUACUUUAAAAACUUAGCUGCUUAAGGGAGGCAACUUUUUUAAAUGAUAAAAGUAAGUAUACCUUAAACUUAAAUGGUGAUGGAAGUCAAUUAGAUCAUGCCUAUGGGGAAAACCAUACAGAAAUCUUGGUGGUUUAACAGCAGGGAAGUUUAUUUCUGCUCAUACCCAGAUCACAAGAGUCUGGGUGACUUGUAUGGGUGCUGUCCCCCCAUGGUGACCCCUGUGAUCUUCGGGACCCUCCGCGGCCACCACGCCAGGGUUGCUGCGGAGGCAGAGAGAGACUGGGCCGCGGAGUGAACCACCGGCGAUUAAACUCUGUGAUCUCACCCGGAAGUGACGAAUUACUUCCCUCACAUCUCAUUGGCCAAAGCAGGUCACGUGGCCAUGCCUGUCCCCAGAGGUCGAGGACUUGAAAUCCUUCCGCACGCCUGGAAAUGGACGUGAGUCGGCCACGUCUGGAAUCACAAGAUCGGUUGGAGAGCUCUAAGGCCAUGCCAGCCAAGAUGGUGGCCACUGGAUGCUUGUGGCUACUUAAUUUUAGAUGGGUGCAAAUGAAGUCCAAUGAAAAGUUCAGUUUCUCGGUUAUACUGGCCACAUGUCAAAUGCUCACUAGCCAAAUGGGCAACAGACAUCUCAGAAGGCCCCAGUGGAGGGUGCUGCUCGAAGACCCCAGGAUCUUGAACGGCCAUGUGGAAGGCUAUCCACCCACUAAAGACACCCAUGUGGAGCUAUGUGUGCAAGUAAGCA
rnacentral:lncRNA from 1 species